CGGCUUAUAGCUGGGUGAAACGUCACGGGCCCAAACCGGCCUGUGCUCUUUUACCAAGAGAUGUAGAAUGUGACCAGACGACUGCGGUACCCCCUACAACAACCACUUCUCUCCCCUGCCCUUCGAGCACUCUAUGUGUGGUGCUGGACCACCCAGCCUUUUCAAAAUGCAUCAAGCACUUAAGGCGU